rnacentral:rRNA from 1 species
AUUGAACGCUGGCGGCAUGCCUUACACAUGCAAGUCGAACGCGAAAGCGGGGCAACCCGCAAGCAGAGUGGCGAACGGGUGAGUAAUACAUCGGAACAUAUCCAGUAGCGGGGGAUAACCUAUCGAAAGAUGGACUAAUACCGCAUACGAUCUACGGAUGAAAGCAGGGGACCGCAAGGCCUUGCACUAUUGGAGUGGCCGAUGUCGGAUUAGCUAGUUGGUGGGGUAAUAGACUACCAAGGCGACGAUCCGUAGCUGGUCUGAGAGGACGAUCAGCCAGACGGGAACUGAUACACGGUCCAGCCUCCUACGGGAGGCAGCAGUGGGGAAUUUUGGACAAUGGGGGCAACCCUGAUCCAGCCAUGCCGCGUGAGUGAAGAAGGCCUUCGGGUUGUAAAGCUCUUUCGGUGAAGACGAAACGGUUCAUGCCAAUACCAUGAACUAAUGACGGUACUCACAGAAGAAGCACCGGCUAACUACGUGCCAGCCGCCGCAGUAACAC